AGGUGUCAGCACAGAGCCCGGCACGGGGCUCAAACCGAUGAAGCAGGAGAUCAUGACCUGAGCCGAAGUCCGAAGCUUAACCGACUGAGCCGCCCAGGUCCCCCAAAAGAACUACCUUUUAAAGAAAUGGGCCAUAGGUCACCAGAAGGGAGGUGGGUGAAGGGAUGGGCAACAUAGGUAAAGGGAAUUAAGAGAUACAGACUUCCAGUAAUUAAAUAAGUCACGGACAUGAAAAGUACAGCCCGGGCAAUAUAGUUGUCAUAAUGAUGUCUGGUGACCGAUGGUCGCUACUUUAUCACGAUGAACACGGAGCAAUAAUGUAUAGAAUUGUCAACUCACUAUGUUGUACACCUGAAGCUACUACAACACGUCAAUAGUAAAUACUUAAUGAAUAAUAUUAUUUAUUUCAAUAAUAAAUAAAAGGGGAAACGAGCCAUAGAAUAACUUGAGAAAGAGCUUUCUGACCGAAAUGGAAAUGUCUUAACGUGUUGCCACUGACACAGCAUUGCUUGUGAGGCUCAGGCCUCCAGAGAUGUGUGUGCCAUUAAAACAGGCUUUAAAAAAAAAAAUGAAAAGGCUCAGAGCCACUGCAAGACUGUCUGUGACGUAUUUAAUCCUGGGCAACCUUUCCAGCAAGGUUCCGGCAGAGCUUGAGAAAUUGGGCCCCCUCAAAUCACGGGACUUUCCACAUCACUCUGGUGAUAAAAGGAGGCGGUUUUUUGUUUUUUGUUUUUUUGGUUUUUUUCCUGAACGCAUAGGCAGAGCUAGAUUCCUACACCUGUAGAGAGGAAGGAGAAACACUCGGGUGUCGACACAAGCCAGAGCACCGGAUACGGAUACAGCACCAGCCCAGAUGGAUGGGGCAUUCCAUUUCUCCACAAAAGCUGAGCUAAGAAAAAUGUCAGGUCGAUAAUGAAGAAAGACUGGGAGGAAACGUAAUACAGAUUGUUUUGUAGGACCUUGGAGUUUAAUAACAGAGACCCAGAUGCCUAAUCCGUCCAGCUCGGUCUUGUGCCUGACUCACUGGAUGGCCUUCGUGAAAUCAUUCUCCAUCGACACAGGACAAAGGGACAUUUUGAGGGGUCAUCUGGUCCUCCUGUUGCUUCCAUUUUCACAACUUAUUCGGACAACAGUUACUGAGCAGCUGGAUCCCACGUGCACAGGCUUCCUCCAGCACUAGGAACACGGAGGUGAUCGGGCUGUGGCCUUGGUCUCAGGGCUGACAGUCGGGGAGACAGACAGGCAGUUACCCUUCAGUGUGCUGGGGACUGUGGGGUCCUUUGGAGGGGGAGUGCUUCCCAGAGGGGUCUGGGAACUAAGUCUUGAAAGAUGAAGGGGAUUUGGCACAACGAGGCGUGGUCGGGAAGGUGGAGAAGGUGCUCAAGAUAGAGAGGACCGAGGCCAAGGCUUGGAGGGCACAGGGUCCUUGCUGUCUUGGGGGCGGUAGAAAAUAAUUCAGUAUGAAGUACAGGGUGUAGGGAGGGGGUAGGGAGAGAUAAGGGGUGCUGGAUAUAUGAAGAGAGCUCAGCCUCACACGUGUGCUGAGGAAGUUAAAACCUCUUACACGAGCCUGAGAUUUUUGGAGAAGAGGUCAAACUGGAGACUCAGUGACACUGGCCAGAGGUUGAACCAGGGCACUGGUCACCAGGAGAGUCAGGCAGCAAUGUUUGAGGAGGUGGACAGCCCAGUGGAGAGCGGCUGGGGUGAGGAGUGGUGGGAGGGCGGACCUGGGUCCCCCCAACGAGGACGGCCAAGCCAUGGACCUGGGGGGGGAGGGAGCGCAGUCUUUGAUGACAAAGGCCGCCUCGAGCUCUUGCUAGCCCCGUGGCCCCGGGAAAGUUACUGAACUCUCUGUGCCUCAGACCCUUCAUCUAAAAGCGAGCAUGAUGAGGGGCACCUGGGCGGCUCAGUCGGUUAAGCGUCCGACUUCACUCAGGUCAUGAUCUCACAGUCCGUGGGUUCGAGCCCCGCGUCGGGCUCUGG